CUUAUUUACAGUGGUUGUCACUG
rnacentral:siRNA from 1 species